GCCCGGAUGGUGGAAUGGUAGACACGAAGGACUUAAAAUCCUUUGGCUAUUGCAGCUGUGCGGGUUCAAGUCCCGCUCCGGGUACGA
rnacentral:tRNA from 6 species